rnacentral:rRNA from 1 species
GACGAACGCUGGCGGCGUGCUUAACACAUGCAAGUCGAACGGAAAGGCCCUGCUUUUGUGGGGUGCUCGAGUGGCGAACGGGUGAGUAACACGUGAGUAACCUGCCUUUGACUUUGGGAUAACUUCAGGAAACUGGGGCUAAUACCGGAUAGGAGCUCCUGCUGCAUGGUGGGGGUUGGAAAGUUUCGGCGGUUGGGGAUGGACUUGCGGCUUAUCAGCUUGUUGGUGGGGUAGUGGCUUACCAAGGCUUUGACGGGUAGCCGGCCUGAGAGGGUGACCGGCCACAUUGGGACUGAGAUACGGCCCAGACUCCUACGGGAGGCAGCAGUGGGGAAUAUUGCACAAUGGGCGGAAGCCUGAUGCAGCAACGCCGCGUGCGGGAUGACGGCCUUCGGGUUGUAAACCGCUUUCGCCUGUGACGAAGCGGGAGUGACGGUAAUGGGUAAAGAAGCACCGGCUAACUACGUG